rnacentral:rRNA from 1 species
CAGGUUGAAGUUCGAGUAACACCGAAUGGAGGACCGCACCAAUAAGCGUUGAAAAGCUUCUGGAUGAGGUGAGUGUAGGAGUGAAAGGCCAAUCAAACUUGGAGAUAGCUCGUACUCCCCGAAAGGCAUUUAGGUGCCGCGUGCUAUGAUAAGCAUAAGAGGUAGAGCGACCGAUAGGUCAAGAGGGCUUCACCGCCUAUUGCGACCUGACGAACUCCGAAUGCUUAUGUUUUGCAGUAGUGCAGUAAGGGGGCG